AUUGAUUUGCAUAUCAUCUGUAAAGUCUUGUUAAUCAUGAUUAUGGUAAUUACUUACCUCUCCUUGUCUUUUCUACAGAGCCAUGAAGUAUUUUUCACAGUGUCUCUGAUUUUCAGCUUGGAUCCAGAUUGCAAUGUUUUUAAAUUUCUCUUCUAAAUUAACAAAAAACUAAAGACUAAAAAUCUGACUUUACCAGUGAAUGACACAUACAAAGAAAUUCCCCGGAUUCCCAAAUUACC
rnacentral:lncRNA from 1 species